AGGUUGUGGCUCAUGCUGAGAUACACACUUGCAAAAUAAAAUUUGCCAGUGUACAAGUCAAAACAGGGAUUCUGCACCACCCUGUACCAGAUGAGUAAGGACCAGAAGAUGCUGCUGUGCACCCCCUUCUCAUGUCAUUGAUAUGGUCUUUGGAGAGAAGAGGCUCAGAGCAAAGCUUAAUGAUUUUACCACACAUGUUCUGAUGCCCUUAUCUUUCGUUAGAAACUAUAGGUAUAAGUGGUUCCUGGGGGAGGCAUGUGACUCUGUUGUGACAAGUUCAAUUGUAUUUGUUGCAUGGUAUAAAAUAGUAUCACGUCUGCAGCUAUGUUAUCAAUAUAUCAUGUACAGUAUUUAAAACUCUAGUCGGUCCAAAACAAACAAACAAACAAACAAACCUGAUAGAGGAAUCAUAAUGAUUCCCCUUAGAAGCUGAAGACCCAAACCAGUCUUGCAAAGAAUGCCUUACAAUGAAAUAUAUCCUGAAAGUCUCUUUUCUUCUACUACUCUAGAAUAAUACCAGCUUCUCAAAACAGGAAAGAGUGUCAUUUCUAGUGUCCCUUUGAACAUUACUUACUAUAUGAAAGUUAUUUAUGUCAUUUACUAUAUGAAAAAAAAGUGUUGUUUUAAUUGCCUUUCCAUUGUAUUAUAGUUUUGCAUUUUGAUUGGCAUAACCAUUCCUGAUGUAUAUUUACUGAAAUGAAAGUUUGGUUCCAUUAUGGAACAGAAGAUCAUAACUAUUUAUUAUUUCACUUGAAAGCAGGUGGGGGUAUAAAUCAUAAUUAAAAUAAAAAAUCCCUUAAGAAUUCAAUAAACCUUUAUCACUUUCCAAUAAACAUGAGCAGUGAUACUAAGUCUUGUGAAAAAUGUUACCAGGUUUCCCUUUAAGCUUUCCUGAGCUAAUGGCUGCAACCUCUCAUUUCACAGGGCAAGGCUCUAGUUCUUUCUCACACACUGAUCUUUCUCAACCCAAAGCCUUAAGUCCUCAGUGCUCCUAGGGAACCUAGCUAGUUCAAGUCACUAGCACUUACGUAUUCAGAAGUAAAACUUGAACUCUGGUGCCCACACCCAAGUUGUAUAAUUUUUAAUUGCACACUUGGCAGUAAUUCCUGGUCAGACCUGAUCUGGGCCCAAUUGGUUGUCGCUUGAGCAUACAUAUUAUUAGCAAAUCCUUUAAAGUUAUAUAGUUUCAUUUCUGAAUAUACAUUUGUGACUUGGACUCAAAACUAAAGAGGAAUCUUAAAAUCCUAGAGUUUGGAGGUCUUCUACUUCAACUAAAGCCUAUUAAGUUUCUCUCAGUAUAAAUAAAACCAGUCUCUACUUAAAUCAUUCUGAUGAUAGAGGCCUCACUUCCUCCCCGAGAAGCCCUUUCUAUGUUCUAAUAGCUCUGAUCGGGAGAAAGCCAUAAUCUCUAUUGGGCUGAAAUCUGCUUCCAGUAAUUUCUAGCUAUUGGUUUUAGCUCAACCCUCUGGAAUAACAGAAUGUUGGCUCAUUUAUACUUCCAUAGGUUUAUAAGGCCUAGAAAUAUUUGAUGAUGACUUUUCAUCUGUAUACCCAAGUGUACUAUAUAUAAAAGAUCUGAGAGAGCUAUAAAUAGAACUCUAUAAAGUGUGUAUGUAUAUGUAUAUGUAUACUUAUAUGUAUAUGUGUGCAUAUGUGUGUGUGUGUGUUUGUGUAGAGAGAGAGAUAGAGAAAGAGAGAAGGAAAGAAAGAGACAUAGAGGGAGAGAAAGGGAGAGAGGGAGAGAGGUAUGCAUUAUAGCAAAAAUAAGAGUGAAAAAGAAGAAUAAUUUCAUUUUCAAUUUUGAAUAAGCUUAGAGGCUAGGAAGGACCAAAUAAAAGUUGUUUAACAGGACUAUCAUAAAACAUUCUGAAAAAGAAUAAUUUCCACUCAACUUAAUUAGAAUAUUUGUAUAAUCUAAUUGCAGAUUGGUGACUGAAUGAAGUCUUUCCAGAGUAAGAAAUAACAUAAUCCCAAAUAAAAGAGCAUUCAGAGUAGUCUCUCAGAGGCAGGAGGAUAGCUGAGGAGUCUCCACCCUUCCCUGAUGGAGGUUUUUCAAUCUGCAGAGAAGCUGAGGGACAGGAGCAAGCUGCUCCCUGCCUGAAGAAGGCGGCCCCUCUUAAAACUUACCAGCCACACCCUUACUGACCUAGGCCUGUGAAAAGGUGCACAAGGCACUCUCUUUUGCCCCACAUUUCCUCCUCCUUCCUUAACCCCACUCUUGUUUUUCUUUUUUAUUAUCAUCUGCAAAGGAUUUCUGCUAUUUCUUGAAAAAAUUGUCGGGGUCUAUGCUAAAUCUUUUAUCUAAACCAAUUCAGUUAACUGGAUGUCACUGGAAGCAAACGGCACAAAGACAGCAGGAGUAGGUUUGAACAUGAACACCUUACUUCUAGGUUACUAGGUGUGUUUAGUUUUUUUUUUUUUUUUUAACUUUCACCAGAUACUUCAUGAUUGCAUCAUUCUUCACAUGACUCCAUGGGCUGAAGAAAAGGUAAUGAAGAACAUUGAUGAUGUAUUGGAAAUUAGUGACAAUGCAUGUAAUUUAAAAAAAAAAAAAAAAGACAAGACAUUGGAGAUGGACUUUGUAGUUAAAGAAACUUUGGGUACUGGAAAUACCACGGAGAUUAAGCCUCUCUUAAUCUUCCCUUUAUUAUUCAGAGAUGACAUCUUUUCUUCUUCACCUACUUAAGGUGUAUGAGGCAAGGAGAGGAGGUUCUCUUUGAAGGCUACAAGUUUAACCUGUUAGUUCAGUUUCUUUUUUACCAUGGAUGCAUAUACAUUACUUACAAAUAAAUUAAAGAGGGGCACCUGGGUGGCUCGGUGAGUUAAAGCCUCUGCCUUCAGCUCAGGUCAUGGUCUCAGGGUCCUGGGAUCAAGCCCCGCAUUGGGCUCUCUGCUCAGCAGGAAGCCCGCUUCCCUCUCUCUCACUCAGCCUGCCUCUCUGCCUACUUGUGGUCUCUCUCUGUCAAAUAAAUAAAUAAAAAUCUUUAAAAUAAAUAAAUAAAUUCAAGAAUGUGAUUCUCUUUUCUUCUCCACAGCAACUCCAAAGUCUCACUCAGCUUUUCAAAGACAAGCUAAAUAAUAGACAUUUCAUUUUGCAAAUGUAUUUCUCAAAUUGUUUCCAGCCCCAGGAUCAUUUAAGGAAGGAGAGAAGGAGGAGCCAUUGGGAAGGGCAUGAGGGGGCUUCAGAGUACUGGCAAGGUUUUCUACCUGGAAGACAGUUACAUGGGUGAGUUCAUGUUGUGAUAUUUUAUCAACCUGUACACAUAGGAUUUGUGCGCUUGUCCCUAUCUAGUGUUGGGCUUUAACUAGAGAUGUUUAGUUUUUUUUUUUUUUUUUUUUUAAAGAUUUUAUUUAUUUGACAGAGAGAAAUCACAAGUAGAUGGAGAGGCAGGCAGAGAGAGAGAGGGAAGCAGGCUCCCCAUGGAGCAGAGAGUCCAAUGUGGGACUCGAUCCCAGGACCCUGAGAUCACGACCCGAGCCGAAGGCAGCGGCUCAACCCACUGAGCCACCCAGGCGCCCCGAGAUGUUUAGUUUUAAAAAGAAGAUGUAAGUGUUAGUGAAAUAUCUUUGAAAAAUCUUAAAUGUCUCAGGGAAAAAACGAUCAAUGGUUCAAUAAAAUUCUACAUGUAUUAUUAAUCUUAGCUUAUCAGAGUCUCUUAAAUUAUUUUAAUUAGUUAGGGGAUACCUAACUUGUAGGUUUUCACUCUGUCAAUUUUAACCUGUCUAGCUGAGUACAGCUAGAGUUGGUUAAAGUUGGCAGUUAAGGAAGUAGAUUUUGAGGGGAUCACACAAUAACUGCCUUCAGCUCAGGUCAUGAUCCCAGAGUUUUGGGAUGGAGCCCUGCGGUUGGCUCCCUGCUCAGUGGUGAGUUUGCUUCUCCUUCUCCAAUCUCCCUCUUCCGCUGUGAUCUCACUCUCACUCUCUAAAUAAAUAAGUAAGUAAAUAAAUAAAACAUUCCAAAAGUACAAUCCUGGCCCCAGAAAAUAACUGGUCUAUCUCAAAAUGUCUGGAGCACGAGCGGGUAUUCUCUGUGGCUUCAGAUACUUUCUUCAGAAUCUAAGCUAGCGAAUGUGCCCCUAAGACUUACUUGGUACUACGGUUUAGCUAGUGUCCCCCGCAUGAGGACUUCAGGCCUCCAUCAACGACUUUCACUUGAACUUUUAUCGUGGAAUGCUUCUAGGAAAAGGGUAGAAUGGAAAAGAAGAUAGGAUAUGAGCACUGGAAGGGCAAAAAGAACAUCAUUAUUAACAUAAAUAGGGGCAAGAGAAGGAAAUAUGUAAUUCCUGCAUAUUCACAGAAUCCCUUGAAAGGAACAUGUAGAUCAGGAAUGCUGUACAUGAUAUGUCAUAGGGAAACUUGUACAUCAACAAUACAACCAGCAGGACACAACCUAAACAGUAGUAUCUUUAAGUUUUAGUUUCUGGUUUGUAAAAUGGGUAUAAAUUAGAGCUUUUAAUUAAAAAAAGGAAAAAAGGAUUUUAUUUAUUUAUUUGAGAGGGAGAGAGAUAGCGAGAGAGAAAGAGAGCAAAAGCAGUGGGAAGAAGGAGAAGCAGAAUCCCCACUGAGCAGGGAGCCCCACAGGAGGCUCAAUCCCAGGACCCUGGCAUCAUGACCUGAGCCAAAGGCAGCCGACUGAGCCAACCAGGAGCCCCAACCUUUUAAAUUCUUUGAAGUAAAAUGAAU